AUCCAAUGAUGGAUUAGAUUCAUAAUCUAAUACAUUUACGCUUCCAUUACGUUACUCUAAUUCUUCCUCAAUUAUUGAGGAAUCUAUCCUUUAGUAUUUCUUAAAUACUUAAGGACUUACUUGACAGUUGCCAUGAUUCUGAUCCUGGGCUUGCACUGAUAUCAUCUUGUACCGUUCUAGGUACAACUCAUAUCAAUGUUUUUCAUACAAUAUGAAAUACAUAAAUCACCUUUAUGCGUAUGCAUAAAGGAUUCUAUUUACACAUUAUUUCUUUGGGAGUCAAAGAGUACGUUCUCUUUGAGAAGAGCAACUUCUUAGUCUCACUAGAGUUGUCCUUCUAAUUGAAGUUUAUCAUCAUAUGAGAAACUUCCUAGCAUCUAUUGUCUAUUAUUAGGGAUUGAUAUAAUCCAAUUAUAUCAUGGAAUAUAUCAUUAUAGAUUUCCAUCCCAUGUAUAUAGACUAUAUCUCCCAUAUACAUUCUAUCUUCAUAUAAUGUUUUAAAGUCAUAACUUUAACGAAGAAGAAUUCUUUUCAUUUCCAAAAUUAAUAUAUCAUAUAUAUUAAAUUUUAGGAACAUGAUUAACUCCCAUAUACAUUCUAUCAUUAUAGAAUGUUUAAAGUCAUAACUUUAACGAAGAAGUAUUCUUUUCAUUUCCAAAAUUAAUAUAUCAUAUAUAUUUAA
rnacentral:lncRNA from 1 species